rnacentral:rRNA from 1 species
GUGCACCAGGCGCGAAUACUUUACAAUGCGGGAAACCGUGAUAAGGGAACCUCGAGUGCUGGCGCAUAGCGUCGGCUGUCCAGAUGCCUAAAAAGCAUCUGAUAGCAAGGGCCGGGCAAGACCGGUGCCAGCCGCCGCGGUAACACCGGCGGCUCGAGUGGUGGCCACGUUUAUUGGGUCUAAAGCGUCCGUAGCCGGCUCGGCAAGUCCCCUGGGAAAUCUGGCGGCUCAACCGUCAGGCGUCCAGAGGAUACUGCUGGGGCUUGGGACCGGGAGAGGUGAGAGGUACCUCAGGGGUAGGGGUGAAAUCUUGUGAUCCCUGAGGGACCACCAGU